UACGUAGGGUGCAAGCGUUGUCCGGAAUUAUUGGGCGUAAAGAGCUCGUAGGCGGUUCGUCGCGUCGGCUGUGAAAUCCCGGAGCUCAACUCCGGGUCUGCAGUCGAUACGGGCGGACUUGAGUACUGCAGGGGAGACUGGAAUUCCUGGUGUAGCGGUGAAAUGCGCAGAUAUCGGAAGGAACACCUGUGGCGAAAGCGGCUCACUGGACCAUUACUGACGCUGAGGCACGAAAGCUAGGGGAGCAAACAGG
rnacentral:rRNA from 1 species